CAAGAGAUGAGAUGAUGAAGACUUCAAAAGAUGAGUCUCCUCCAGGAUUCUCUUCUAGUACAACAAAAUACAAAAAGAAUCCUGCUAGAAUGUCUGAAAAGAAAUACUUCAACAGAAGCAAUGGAUCUUCCUAUGUUAAUGGUGUAUCUGACUAUGGAGAGUUUGCAAGUGAUAGAGAAAUCAAAAGACGCUUAUCCAAGUUGAGGUUGAAAUCCUUAGAUUCAGGGAG
rnacentral:misc_RNA from 1 species